UUGGAUCACCUCCUAACAGGGAGACAAACAACGAUUUUGAUGCCUGAGUAUUUUUAUUCUUAGGCCGAAAUCCUGUCACCUUAGGUCGAUCGGUACCUCAGUUUUGAAGUUAAGAAUCAGCAGUAAUGUUGAUUGCUUGAUGGAAAUUUUCAGUUCCUAAACUUUGUCUAGGUCACACCCCUGAAGGGAUGAGACUCCUGGGCCAUUAGCUCAGGUGGUUAGAGCGCACCCCUGAUAAGGGUGAGGUCCCUGGUUCAAGUCCAGGAUGGCCCAUUCGGUGUUGGGGGUUUAGCCCAGUUGGUAGAGCGCCUGCUUUGCAAGCAGGAUGUCAGGAGUUCGAGUCUCCUAACCUCCACUGACCGAACUUUAUCCCCAUCUCCAAGUUAUUGGAGUUAAGCUCGAUUGGAGUGUGAUUUAGAUUUGUCCGCUGGAUGACCCCAGCUUCCUGUCAUUCCAAGUUUUAAGUUUAAAGCUUUGAAUUUGGCUGAUAAGAUGCUGGGCUCAAAUGAGUUGAUCAAGCAAUUGAUCAAUUGAUUUGAAGUUCUAGCAGAACCUUGACAACUGCAUAGGUAAGCCUGAAAAGAAUAAAGCAUCUCAUGGAUGAUGCGAUGAUUCUUUUCUGUGAUCCGAAAGGAUGAUGGAGAAGGAGAGUUGCAAAUUCUAUCGAGCAAGAGCCGAGACUCCAUCACGUUCUUUCAAUUGUGUCGAGCAAUUGCGAGUUUGAUUCUUGAUUCAACAAUGAAUCAGGGAGAAUCUGUUUCAACGACAGCAAGCGUGUUGGAGAUUAUAUGGUCAAGCUACAAAGAGCUCACGGCGGAUACCUUGGCACACAGAGGCGAUGAAAGGA
rnacentral:tRNA from 1 species